rnacentral:rRNA from 1 species
UACGGAAGGCAGCAGGGGGAAGUAUUGCACAAUGGGCGCAAGCCUGAUGCAGCCAUGCCGCGUGUAUGAAGAAGGCCUUCGGGUUGUAAAGUACUUUCAUCGGGGAGGAAAAAACAAAAACUAAUAAUUUUAAUUUUCUUUGACGUUACCCGAAAAACGAAAGCACCGGCUAACUCCGUGCCAGCAGCCGCGGUAAUACGGAGGGUGCUAGCGUUAAUCAGAAUUACUGGGCGUAAAGAGCACGUAGGUGGUUUUUUUAAAGUUCAGAUGUGAAAUCCCUGGGCUUAACCUAGGAACUGCAUUUUUGAAACUGAAAUACUAGAGUAUCGUAGAGGGAGGUAGAAUUCUAGGUGUAGCGGUGAAAUGCGUAGAUAUCUGGAGGAAUACCUGUGGCGAAAGCGGCCUCCUAAACGAAUACUGACACUGAGGUGCGAAAGCGUGGGGAGCAAACAGGGAUUAGAUACC